GGAGUUGUGGCUCAGUGGUAGAGCACUUGCCUAGCAAGUGUGAGGCACUGGGUUCAAUUCUCAGCACCA
rnacentral:tRNA from 1 species